rnacentral:lncRNA from 1 species
UUAUAAUUAUUUAUUUUUAAAGAUUAAUUAUUUAUAUAUUUUUGAAAAAUUUCAAACUUUUUUAUUAACCUUACUUAGAAAAAUAUUAAAACAACCAUUUUCUUUAAAAAUUAGGAAAAACUUCAAAAACCCCCCUAUGGUUUCAUAGUUUCUCACUUUGCCCCCCUGUGAUUUAAAAUAUAUCAAUUUGCCCCCAUGUGAUUUUUUUUUCUCUUUUUCUUAUCAAUUUUAUUAUUAUUUUUUCUUAAAUCAGUAAUAAAGUUAAAAUUAAAGGGCACUAAAAUGAAUAUUUGAUAAAUCUAGACGGGCAUCUGAAGUUUUUUGUAUAUAAUUUAAUGAAAUAUUAACGAAAAAGCUACCGAAAAGAUAGAAACGAAACUACAGGGGGCAAAUUGAUACACUUUAAACCACAUGGUACUAAAGUGAGAAACUACGAAACCACAUGAGGGUUUUUUUGAAGUUUUUCCUAUAAAUUAUUACUUUGUCCUUUUAAAUAUACAUUAAUUCUAUCGUUACUAAUUUUUUUAUUAAUUUGUCCUUAAGUUAGAGAUAAAAAAAUAUAUAUUUUGAUUUUUUUUUUUUUAACUCAGUACAAAUUUUAUCUGGAUUUAAUCCGAAAUUACUUAAUGGAUA